UACGGGGGAUGCAAGCGUUAUCCGGAAUCAUUGGGCGUAAAGCGCCUGUAGGUUGUUUAAUAAGUCUGUUGUUAAAGACUAAGGCUUAACCUUAGAAAAGCAAUGGAAACUACUAGACUCGAGUAUGGCAGGGGUAGAGGGAAUUUCUAGUGUAGCGGUGAAAUGCGUAGAUAUUAGAAAGAACACCGGUGGCGAAAGCGCUCUACUGGACCAUUACUGACACUCAGAGGCGAAAGCUAGGGUAGCAAAAGGGAUUAGAUACCCCUGUAGUCCUAGCCGUAAACGAUGGAUACUAGAUGUUGUAAAUUGAUUACAGUAUCGUAGCUAACGCGUUAAGUAUCCCGCCUGGGGAGUACGCUCGCAAGGGUG
rnacentral:rRNA from 1 species